UUCUCGUCUCCGUCGCCGACUAAGAGAAAUCAAAGCUCAGAAAUUUGAUGAAUCCAAAGCUCACAAAUUUGAUGAACCCAAAGCUCAGAAAUUUGAUGAAUCCAAAGCUCACAAAUUUGAUGAACCCAAAGCUCAGAAAUUUGGUGGGUGUUGUUCCCGUCUCCGCCGCGGACUCGCCGAUGCAGAUGUUGUUUAAUGCCUUCCCGUUCCUGAUGUUUCUGACCCAACCCGCGCGAGAUACGAGAGUAGCAGGGGAUGCCGCCGGCGGCGAAACCUUCGUCUCUCUCUUCAGCGGCAACAUAAAUGGUGAAAUUGAACCUCCGUCUCCGGUGUGGACAGCAGAUUCGGCGGACCUGGGUUUCUUCCUCCAUCUUCCUCAGCAACAACGGGCAGAUCGAUGGCGACGAUGGGAUGAACCUCCAGCAGUGGGGAUGGUUUCCGGCAGUGCAACAUCCCUUUCUGCCUUUCUUCCUCAGCAGUGGUGAUUUUCUUUUGUUGGUGGUUGGUUCUUUCUGGUCUCUUGGAGGCAGAGCUUCAUCUGAUGAGAGAAUGGAAAAUGACUUCCCCCAAAAAAGGGGAAGUCAUUUUUCGGAAAAAUGGACUCAUUUUCCAUUGACCAGAGCAAGUUUUCCUUUGACUUCUCAUUUUCCUGCCCAGCCAAACACCAAAAACCCAAAAAAUGAUUUCCAAACACCCUAAAUAGUUUGGUGGUUAUGUGAAUUUGGCUUGAUUUUCAUUGCAGAUGGCAUUCUGCUGGAACUUAUGAUGUCUCGACCAAGACUGGAGGUCCAUGAGGCUCAAGGCUGAGCAAGCUCAUGGUGCCAAUAAUGGUCUUGACAUUGCAGUUAGGUUGUUGGAGCCAUUAAAGGAGUAGUUCCCUAUUGUCUCUUAUGCAGAUCUUUAUCAGGAUCAGACAGAGCUCCCAGUUGAAUGUCAUCUUCCUGAUGCUACCGUGCAAGGAAAUGAUCACCUAAGGGAUGUGUUUGCUAAACGCAUGAGACUCUCUACAAAGGAUAUUGUUGCUCUCUCUGGUGGCCAUAACCUGGGAAGGUGAGACAAGGAGUGGUCUGGAUUUGAAAGCCCUUGGACUACCAACCCGCUCAUCUUCGAUAACUCUUACUUUGGCUCGCUCUAUCUAAAAGAUAUGCACAUGCUUUUUUUUGUGGCUAUCAUAUGAUUUGUUUGUUUGUUUGUGUAUGUUGCAAUCAGAGAGCUUCUGAGUGGUGAGACAGAAGGGCUUCUACUAUUGCCCACUGGCAGGGAACUAUACUUCUUAAUGAUCCCGCUUUCCGCCCACUAGUUGAUAGUAUAAGUAUAUUGUGUUUGUGUUGAUUAUUAAUUGUGAAGUAUAUAUAAUUAUGUUUGACUAGUUGAUAGUAUAAGUAUAUUGUGUUUG